AAAUGCUGCAAAUGCAAAGAAAUAGACUUGUCCUCACACUAUGGGGCGUGUGAGUUCUAUUCGAAGGCAACAAGAGAUGGCUAUCAAAGAUAGAUUAUUAUUAUGGAGAGUUAAUAGAUUGCGUAAAGAUGGCACCUGGUCAUCUGAAGAUGCUAAUCAGAGAUGGGUACAAGCUUGCGAACUC